rnacentral:tRNA from 1 species
GUAAUGUAGCUCAGUGGUAGAGCACUUGUCCAGCAUGUGCAAGCCCUGGGUUCAAUCUCCAGUUACA